rnacentral:rRNA from 1 species
UACGUAGGGUCCGAGCGUUGUCCGGAAUUAUUGGGCGUAAAGGGCUCGUAGGCGGUUUGUUGCGUCGGGGAGUGAAAAACUUACAGCUUAACUGUGAGCGUGCUUCCGAUACGGGCAGACUUGAGGUAUUCAGGGGGAGAACGGAAUUCCUGGUGUAGCGGUGAAAUGCGCAGAUAUCAGGAGGAACACCGGUGGCGAAGGCGGUUCUCUGGGAAUAUCCUGACGCUGAGGAGCGAAAAGUGUGGGGGAGCGAACAGG